rnacentral:rRNA from 1 species
CCUACGGGGGGCAGCAGUGGGGAAUAUUGCACAAUGGGGGAAACCCUGAUGCAGCGACGCCGCGUGAGUGAAGAAGUAAUUCGUUAUGUAAAGCUCUAUCAGCAGGGAAGUAAAUGACGGUACCUGAGUAAGAAGCCCCGGCUAACUACGUGCCAGCAGCCGCGGUAAGACGUAGGGGGCAAGCGUUAUCCGGAUUUACUGGGUGUAAAGGGAGCGUAGACGGCAGUGCAAGUCUGGAGUGAAAGGCGGGGGCUCAACCCCCGGACUGCUCUGGAAACUGUACGGCUGGAGUGCAGGAGAGGUAAGUGGAAUUCCUAGUGUAGCGGUGAAAUGCGUAGAUAUUAGGAGGAACACCAGUGGCGAAGGCGGCUUACUGGACUGUAACUGACGUUGAGGCUCGAAAGCGUGGGGAGCAAACAGGAUUAGAUACCCCAGUAGUC